AGAGUUUGAUCCUGGCUCAGAGCGAACGCUGGCGGCAGGCCUAACACAUGCAAGUCGAGCGGGCACCUUCGGGUGUCAGCGGCAGACGGGUGAGUAACACGUGGGAACGUGCCCUUUGGUUCGGAACAACUCCGGGAAACUGGAGCUAAUACCGGAUAAGCCCUUCGGGGGAAAGAUUUAUCGCCAAAGGAUCGGCCCGCGUCUGAUUAGCUAGUUGGUGAGGUAAUGGCUCACCAAGGCGACGAUCAGUAGCUGGUCUGAGAGGAUGAUCAGCCACACUGGGACUGAGACACGGCCCAGACUCCUACGGGAGGCAGCAGUGGGGAAUAUUGGACAAUGGGCGCAAGCCUGAUCCAGCCAUGCCGCGUGAGUGAUGAAGGCCCUAGGGUUGUAAAGCUCUUUUAGCGGGGAAGAUAAUGACGGUACCCGCAGAAUAAGCCCCGGCUAACUUCGUGCCAGCAGCCGCGGUAAUACGAAGGGGGCUAGCGUUGCUCGGAAUCACUGGGCGUAAAGGGCGCGUAGGCGGCCAUUCAAGUCGGGGGUGAAAGCCCAGGGCUCAACCCUGGAAUUGCCUUCGAUACUGUUUGGCUAGAGACCGGAAGAGGUUAGUGGAACUGCGAGUGUAGAGGUGAAAUUCGUAGAUAUUCGCAAGAACACCAGUGGCGAAGGCGGCUAACUGGUCCGGUUCUGACGCUGAGGCGCGAAAGCGUGGGGAGCAAACAGGAUUAGAUACCCCAGUAGUCC
rnacentral:rRNA from 2 species